GAGUUUGAUCCUGGCUCAGAGCGAACGCUGGCGGCAGGCCUAACACAUGCAAGUCGAACGAACCCUUCGGGGUUAGUGGCGGACGGGUGAGUAACACGUGGGAACGUACCCUUAGGUUCGGAACAACACAGGGAAACUUGUGCUAAUGCCGAAUGUGCCCUUCGGGGGAAAGAUUUAUCGCCUUUGGAGCGGCCCGCGUCUGAUUAGCUUGUUGGUGAGGUAAAGGCUCACCAAGGCUUCGAUCAGUAGCUGGUCUGAGAGGAUGAUCAGCCACACUGGGACUGAGACACGGCCCAGACUCCUACGGGAGGCAGCAGUGGGGAAUCUUGCGCAAUGGGCGAAAGCCUGACGCAGCCAUGCCGCGUGAAUGAUGAAGGUCUUAGGAUUGUAAAAUUCUUUCACCGGGGAAGAUAAUGACGGUACCCGGAGAAGAAGCCCCGGCUAACUUCGUGCCAGCCGCCGCCGUAAG
rnacentral:rRNA from 1 species